UAGUCUAGUGAACAGUUCACGG
rnacentral:miRNA from 10 species